rnacentral:rRNA from 1 species
AUUGAACGCUGGCGGCAGGCUUAACACAUGCAAGUCGAGCGGAGAUGAGGUGCUUGCACCUUAUCUUAGCGGCGGACGGGUGAGUAAUGCUUAGGAAUCUGCCUAUUAGUGGGGGACAACAUUCCGAAAGGAAUGCUAAUACCGCAUACGUCCUACGGGAGAAAGCAGGGGAUCUUCGGACCUUGCGCUAAUAGAUGAGCCUACGUCGGAUUAGCUAGUUGGUGGGGUAAAGGCCUACCAAGGCGACGAUCUGUAGCGGGUCUGAGAGGAUGGUCCGCCACACUGGGACUGAGACGCGGCCCAGACUCCUACGGGAGGCAGCAGUGGGGAAUAUUGGACAAUGGGGGGAACCCUGAUCCAGCCAUGCCGCGUGUGUGAAGAAGGCCUUAUGGUUGUAAAGCACUUUAAGCGAGGAGGAGGCUACUGAGACUAAUACUCUUGGAUAGUGGACGUUACUCGCAGAAUAAGCACCGGCUAACUCUGUGCCAGCCGCCGCCGUAAUAC